UGGGGAAUUUUGGACAAUGGGCGAAAGCCUGAUCCAGCAAUGCCGCGUGUGUGAAGAAGGCCUUCGGGUUGUAAAGCACUUUUGUCCGGAAAGAAAUCCUUGGCUCUAAUACAGUCGGGGGAUGACGGUACCGGAAGAAUAAGCACCGGCUAACUACGUGCCAGCAGCCGCGGUAAUACGUAGGGUGCAAGCGUUAAUCGGAAUUACUGGGCGUAAAGCGUGCGCAGGCGGUUUGCUAAGACCGAUGUGAAAUCCCCGGGCUCAACCUGGGAACUGCAUUGGUGACUGGCAGGCUAGAGUAUGGCAGAGGGGGGUAGAAUUCCACGUGUAGCAGUGAAAUGCGUAGAGAUGUGGAGGAAUACCGAUGGCGAAGGCAGCCCCCUGGGCCAAUACUGACGCUCAUGCACGAAAGCGUGGGGAGCAAACAGGAUUAGAUACCCUGGUAGUCCACGCCCUAAACGAUGCCAACUAGUUGUUGGGGAUUCAUUUCCUUAGUAACGUAGCUAACGCGUGAAGUUGACCGCCUGGGGAGUACGGUCGCAAGAUUAAAACUCAAAUGAAUUGACGGGGUCAUAGCUGUUUCCU
rnacentral:rRNA from 1 species